rnacentral:rRNA from 1 species
GAUGAACGCUGGCGGCGUGCCUAAUACAUGCAAGUCGAGCGAACGGACGAGAAGCUUGCUUCUCUGAUGUUAGCGGCGGACGGGUGAGUAACACGUGGAUAACCUACCUAUAAGACUGGGAUAACUUCGGGAAACCGGAGCUAAUACCGGAUAAUAUUUUGAACCGCAUGGUUCAAAAGUGAAAGACGGUCUUGCUGUCACUUAUAGAUGGAUCCGCGCUGCAUUAGCUAGUUGGUAAGGUAACGGCUUACCAAGGCAACGAUGCAUAGCCGACCUGAGAGGGUGAUCGGCCACACUGGAACUGAGACACGGUCCAGACUCCUACGGGAGGCAGCAGUAGGGAAUCUUCCGCAAUGGGCGAAAGCCUGACGGAGCAACGCCGCGUGAGUGAUGAAGGUCUUCGGAUCGUAAAACUCUGUUAUUAGGGAAGAACAUAUGUGUAAGUAACUGUGCCCAUCUUGACGGUACCUAAUCAGAAAGCCACGGCUAACUACGU